rnacentral:lncRNA from 1 species
GGUUUUCACACACUGUCAGGUCUCAUUUUUCAUUAUUUUGCUAUUUUUCUCUUUUCCAGACCUGCUCUUUUCUUUUUCUUAAAACCAGAUUUCAUUUUUUUUCUUGGCCUUUCUUUUCUCUUUUGCACUCACUAAGUUCCAAGAUCCUCCAUCCCUCUCACAUGUCUCUACAGGUUAGGUAUUUGGUGGGAAAAAUGGCUUGUAAUAAAUGGAAACAAGGAAAAUUGGCUAAGGCUCAAAAUAAGGUACAAUGGUCAGAGAAACUAAAAUGAUAAAACUAAAUGGUUGUGGAUGGUAAGAAACAAUGCCUAAAUCAUGUCUAGAGUCCACUAAGAGCAAGCUUUUCACAAAGAAUCAAUGCAAAAUCAGAAUGAAAAUCAAACAUGCAUGAAACCACACAAGAAAGAAAAAAAAAUUGGCCCAAAAUCUCUCCAGGUUAAUAAAUUUCCAAAACUGACUUGCUACCCUCUUAUAUGCAAAAAUGCUUAAUUAAACUGAACUCAGAUGCAAAAACCAAAGCUAGGAAUACCUCUACUUGAAUCUAAACCAAAGAAUUACAUCAACAGUUCUAAUUAAGAGAAAUAAAACUGAGAAAUGAGUAAAUCAGCAAAGAAUUGAGAAAGGAAUGAAAUAGAACUCAAAAAGAACCUAGAAAUGUCUAACAAAAUGACCUAAAACUAUAUACAACCUAUAAAAUC